rnacentral:rRNA from 1 species
UACGUAGGUGGCAAGCGUUAUCCGGAAUUACUGGGCGUAAGGCGCACGCAGGCGGUCUGUUAAGUUUGACGUGAAAGCUCCCGGCUUAACUGGGAGAGGUCGUUGAAGACUGGCAGACUUGAGGCGAUGAGAGGGGUGUAGAAUUCCCGGUGUAGUGGUGGAAUGCGUAGAUAUCGGGGGGAAUACCAGUGGCGAAAGCGGCACCCUAGCGUUAGCCUGACGCUCAUGUGCGAAAGCGUGGGGAGCGAACGGG